rfam:Nippostrongylus brasiliensis genome assembly, scaffold: NBR_scaffold0001739
GUGUCAGUGGCGUAGUGUUUAACGCACGGUCCCGGUUAGGCGCGAGACGCGGGUUCGAAUCUCGCCUGAAAUG